GAUGAACGCUGGCGGCGUGCCUAAUACAUGCAAGUCGAGCGAACGGACGAGAAGCUUGCUUCUCUGAUGUUAGCGGCGGACGGGUGAGUAACACGUGGAUAACCUACCUAUAAGACUGGGAUAACUUCGGGAAACCGGGGCUAAUACCGGAUAAUAUUUUGAACCGCAUGGUUCAAAAGUGAAAGACGGUCUUGCUGUCACUUAUAGAUGGGUCCGCGCUGCAUUAGCUAGUUGGUAAGGUAACGGCUUACCAAGGCAACGAUGCAUAGCCGACCUGAGAGGGUGAUCGGCCACACUGGAACUGAGACACGGUCCAGACUCCUACGGGAGGCAGCAGUAGGGAAUCUUCCGCAAUGGGCGAAAGCCUGACGGAGCAACGCCGCGUGAGUGAUGAAGGUCUUCGGAUCGUAAAACUCUGUUAUUAGGGAAGAACAUAUGUGUAAGUAACUGUGCACAUCUUGACGGUACCUAAUCAGAAAGCCACGGCUAGCUACGUG
rnacentral:rRNA from 1 species